UCAAGUGCCAAAAGGGCGUUCAGUGGAUGCCUUGGCGCACACAGGCGAUGAAGGACGUGAUACGCUGCGAUAAGCGUCGGGGAGCUGCGAAUAAGCUUUGAUCCGGCGAUUUCCGAAUGGGGCAACCCACUCCUUAUGGAGUAUCCCGCAAGGGAAGCGAACCCGGGGAACUGAAACAUCUCAGUACCUGGAGGAAAGGACAUCAAUUGAGACUCCGGUAGUAGUGGCGAGCGAACCCGGACCAGGCCAGUGGCAGACAAGUAAGAACGGGAAGAAGCUGGAAAGCUUUGCCUUAGUGGGUGAUAGCCCCGUACCGGUAGAAAUCUUGUUUGUCCUUGAGUAGGGCGGGACACGUGAAAUCCUGUCUGAACAUGGGGGGACCACCCUCCAAGCCUAAGUACUCGUGUGCGACCGAUAGUGAACAAGUACCGUGAGGGAAAGGUGAAAAGCACCCCGACGAGGGGAGUGAAACAGUUCCUGAAACUGGAUGCCUACAAACAGUCAGAGCCCAAGGUUUGUCCUGGGUGAUGGCGUACCUUUUGUAUAAUGGGUCAGCGACUUAGUCUGUCGUGCAAGCUUAAGCCGUUAGGUGUAGGCGUAGGGAAACCGAGUCUGAAUAGGGCGAUUAAGUACGACGGAUUAGACCCGAAACCGAGUGAUCUAGCCAUGUGCAGGUUGAAGGUGUGGUAACACGCACUGGAGGACCGAACCCACGUCUGUUGAAAAAGACGGGGAUGACGUGUGGCUAGGGGUGAAAGGCCAAUCAAACUCGGAAAUAGCUGGUUCUCCGCGAAAUCUAUUUAGGUAGAGCGUCAGACGAAUACCUUGGGGGGUAGAGCACUGGAUGGGCUAGGGGUCCUCACCGGAUUACCAAACCUAACCAAACUCCGAAUACCCAAGAGUACUAUCUGGCAGACACACGGCGGGUGCUAAGGUCCGUCGUGGAAAGGGAAACAGCCCUGACCUACAGCUAAGGUCCCCAAGUCAUGGUUAAGUGGGAAAGCAUGUGGGAGUGCUUAGACAACCAGGAGGUUGGCUUAGAAGCAGCCAUCCUUUAAAGAUAGCGUAACAGCUCACUGGUCAAGCGCUCCUGCGGCGAAAAUGUAACGGGGCUCAAACCAUGCACCGAAGCUUAGGGUUCAGUGGCCAGUUGUCAGUGGUCAGUUGUCAGAAAAGAGACAGAUGAUGGGAGUUGAAGAUCUUGAGGUCUUCAGGCGGGCUUAUGCUUUGAGCCUCGAAAUCCAUCGUUUUAGUCUUGAUUUUCCAAAAAUCGAGCAGUUUGGCGGACUUGCCGAUCAGCUCAGGCGGGCCUCGAAAUCGGUCUGCGGGCUGAUUGUCGAGGGUGCCGGGCGGCAAUCGUCGUCUUCAAAGGAGUUCGCGCGCUAUCUCGGGAUGGCGGUCGGCUCUGCCGAGGAGGCGCGGUUGUGGUGCCGGUAUGCCGCCGAUCUGGGAUAUGUGGAGCGCAGGACGGCUUCGGGAUGGCAUGACGAAUACAGUCAUAUCAUCCGGAUGCUGCAGGGCCUGCGCUCGCGUACGGAAAAUACAAGAAAAACUUUUCUGACAUCUGACCGCUGACAUCUGGCCACUGAGCGGUAGCGGAGCGUUCCGUAAGCCUGCGAAGGGAGAUCCGUGAGGGCUCCUGGAGGUAUCGGAAGUGCGAAUGCUGACAUGAGUAGCGAUAAAGAGUGUGAGAGACACUCUCGCCGAAAGUCCAAGGGUUCCUGCGCACUGUUAAUCAGCGCAGGGUUAGCCGGCCCCUAAGGCGAGGCAGAAAUGCGUAGUCGAUGGGAACCACGUUAAUAUUCGUGGGCCUGCUGGGAAGUGACGGAUUGCCAGGGUUGUACCCCCUUAUUGGAUUGGGGGUGCAGUGAGGCGGUCCCGGGAAACAGCCCCAGCGUAUAGACCGUACCCUAAACCGACACAGGUGGACUGGUAGAGUAUACCAAGGCGCUUGAGAGAACGAUGCUGAAGGAACUCGGCAAAUUGCACGCGUAACUUCGGGAUAAGCGUGACCCCUUGACGGGCAACCGUUGGGGGGUGGCACAAAAGAGGGGGUGGCGACUGUUUAUUAAAAACAUAGGGCUCUGCGAAGUUGCAAAACGACGUAUAGGGUCUGACGCCUGCCCGGUGCCGGAAGGUUAAAAGGAGAGGUGCAAGCCUUGAAUUGAAGCCCCGGUAAACGGCGGCCGUAACUAUAACGGUCCUAAGGUAGCGAAAUUCCUUGUCGGGUAAGUUCCGACCUGCACGAAUGGCGUAACGACUUCCCCACUGUCUCCAGCAUCGACUCAGCGAAAUUGAACUCCCCGUGAAGAUGCGGGGUUCCUGCGGUCAGACGGAAAGACCCCGUGCACCUUUACUAUAGCUUCACGCUGGCAUUCGUGUCGGCAUGUGCAGAAUAGGUGGUAGGCUUUGAAGCGAGGACGCCAGUUCUCGUGGAGCCGCAAUGUGAGAUACCACCCUUAUCGUCAUGGAUGUCUAACCGCGGUGUAACAGCACCCGGGACAGCGUGUGGUGGGUAGUUUGACUGGGGCGGUCGCCUCCCAAAGAGUAACGGAGGCGCGCGAUGGUGGGCUCAGACCGGUCGGAAAUCGGUCGUUGAGUGCAAUGGCAUAAGCCUGCCUGACUGCGAGAGUGACAGCUCGAGCAGAGACGAAAGUCGGUCAUAGUGAUCCGGUGGUCCCGCGUGGAAGGGCCAUCGCUCAACGGAUAAAAGGUACGCCGGGGAUAACAGGCUGAUGAUGCCCAAGAGUCCUUAUCGACGGCAUCGUUUGGCACCUCGAUGUCGGCUCAUCACAUCCUGGGGCUGGAGCAGGUCCCAAGGGUAUGGCUGUUCGCCAUUUAAAGUGGUACGUGAGCUGGGUUUAGAACGUCGUGAGACAGUUCGGUCCCUAUCUGCCGUGGGUGUUGGAAUAUUGAGAGGAGCUGUCCCUAGUACGAGAGGACCGGGAUGGACGAACCUCUGGUGGACCUGUUGUGGCGCCAGCCGCAUUGCAGGGUAGCUAAGUUCGGACGGGAUAACUGCUGAAAGCAUCUAAGCAGGAAGCCUCCCUCAAAACCAGUAUUCCCUAUCAGAGCCGUGGAAGACCACCACGUCGAUAGGCCGGGUGUGGAAGCGCAGCAAUGUGUGGAGCUUACCGGUACUAAUAGCUCGAUCGGCUUGAUCGU
rnacentral:rRNA from 1 species